UUUUCAAGAAAAUUCCUUGGACUUGGCCUUGCUGGAGUGGCCUGCUUGUUUUGGAACUUUUUGGGCCUGUUUUUGGUAAUCAAAUAUGCCCUUGAUGUUAUGAUAUUGGAAAUUAAUAAGGUUAGGUUCUCUGAACUUUUGUCUCAUAAAAUUGCAAUCUCGUUCCCCGAUUUGAACUUCGUCGUUGAAAGGAAUUUUGCAUUGUUGGUCCAGGACAAUCUUCAUUAAAAUGUUUGCAGUUCUGAAUGUAUUUUCUGUGUUUUGACAAGUAUUUUUGCAUUAAUAACAGCCAAUUUGUCUGCAUGUUUUAGUACUAUUCCAACAUUUUAAAAUAUUGGGUAAAAUAUUGUAUAAAUUCAUCAGAAAUUCCAUGGAGGUGCAAAAUUCCUCAGUUUAAGGAAAUUUCCUUACAUCGAACAGGAAAUGCAUACGCGUUGCCUUGACAGGUGAAUACAAGCGUGGAAAUCAUCGGUCUGGAAAACCAAACAUUCGAUUAAAAUUGGAGAACAUUCUCAAGUCUUCAUUGAGAUAAAUUUAAGAUGG